ensembl:lncRNA
UAAAUAACAUGUUUAUUUACCAUUCACUUGUCACUCAUAGAAGUGGAAUAGGUGAGUGCUGGAGUUGUCAGACGAUGCUGUGUGUGUUCCAAGUACAUUGGAAAUCAAUCAAAUGAGGGGAAAGAGGGUUUAUUUGAAAGUCCUCUAAUGAACACCGUUUUCUCCACAGUUCUACACUUCCCUUUCCUCCCUACGUUCCAGAGGCUUCUCACAUCUCACGUCAGACCUGGCCGGCUGGCAAAUCCUACUUUGUGCUGCUUUAUGAAAGUUACUGCCCACAUUUACUAUAGUCCAUUUACUCAAAAACGGAGUCUCCAACAUGUUCCCUUAUUGAAAUUGCCAGAAUACACUAAAUUAUCAAAAGUAUGUGGACACCUGCUCGUCAAACAUAUUCCAAAAUCAUGGGCAGCCUCCACUCUUCUGGGAAGGCUUUCCACUAGAAGUUGGAACAUUGCUGCAGGGACUUGCUUCCGUUCAGCCACAAGAGCAUUAGUGAGGUUGGGCACUUAUAUUGGGCGAUUAGGCCUGGCUCGCAGUCAACGUUCCAAUUCAUCCCAAAAAUGUGGGCUGAGGUGGGGUUGAGGUGGCUCUGUGCAGGCCAGUCAAGUUCUUCCACACCGAUCUUGAAACCAUUUCUGUAUGGACCUCUUUUGGUGCACGGGGGCAUUGUCAUGCUGAAACAGGUCAGGGCCUUCCUCAAACUGUUGCCACAAAGUUGGGAGCACAGAAUCGUCUAAUGUCAUUGUAUGCUGUAGGGUUAAGAUUUCCCUUCACUGGAACUAAGGGGCCUAGCCCAAACCAUGAAAACAGCCCCAGACCAUUAUUCCUUCUCCACAAAACUUUACAGUUGGUACUAUGCAUUGGGGCAGGUACAGUUCUCCUGGCAUCCACCAAACCCAGAUUCGUCCGUCAGACUGCCAGAUGGUUAAGCGUGAUUCAUCACUCCAUAGAAUGUUUCCACUGCUCCAGAGUCCAAUGGCAGAGAGCUUUACACCACUCGAGCCGAUGCUUGGCAUUGCACAUGGUGAUCUUAGGCUUGUGUGCGGCUGCACGACCAUGGAAACCCAUUUCAUGAAGCUCCCGACGAACAGUUAGGAACUCAGUAGUGAGUGUUGCAAUCAAGAACAGACGAUUUUUACACGCUAAGUGCUUCAGGAGUCGGUGGUCCCGUUCUGGGAGCUUGUGUGGCCUACCACUUUGCGGCUAAGCCGUUGUUGCUCCUAGACGUUCCCACUAUACAAUAACAGUCGACCAGGACUGCUCUAGCAGGGCAUACAUUUUACAAACCGACUUGUUGGAAAGGAUGGCAUCCUAUGAUGGUGCGACGUUGAAAGUCACUGAGCUCUUCAGUACAGGCCAUUUCUACUGCCAAUGUUUGUCUAUGGAGAAUGCAUGGUUUUAGACACCUGUCAGCAACAGGUGUGGCUGAAGUAGCUGAAUCCACUCAUUUGGCCAUGUAAUGUACCUUCACUUGUGUCUUCUGCUCUCAGACAUGAGAAUAGGCCAUCUAGUGAUCAAUGUCGUCAUGGCAAGAACUUCACUGUUGAAAAUAAUUGUCACUAAUUAUAGAGUGACAGCCUAUCAUUCUCCUUUUGAAUCAUCACACGGGUCCACUGUAAUUGCUCAAAACAGACACAGAGUGAGUGUUAGACCUCUCUCUCUCUUUAUUUGUAGUCGGACAGUUCAAAGUUGUUUUUUCUUCCAAAAUAAACAGAGCGAGAAACAACCACCUCACAAUUGUAGGGGGGUGAAGAACAUGACUAAGAACAAAAGCAAAACAAGAAACUCCAGUGGUAGAAACAUGCUCCAACGUUUUGUGACUGUAAACUUUUUUCAACCGUGGCUUUUCUCCUUACAGCUGUACACACAUUCUUGUUUGAGUAGUCUGUCAUUAUUACCAAUAUCCAACUUUCUCAAGUGACUUCAAGUAAAAUGCAACAACGAUUUGGUCUGAGUGCCCACUCAAAUAAAUAACUGAUCACACGUACAAAUUCUAAAUUCUCCAUCAACAAAAAAGCUUGAUUUCUUAACUAAAUCACAAAAUCAGAUUAGGACCUCAGAAUAGCUUGAAGUACGUAUACCACCUCUGCUAAACACACUUUGAGCAAGGAAAUGGUUACUACAAUCUUCUUCCCAAAUCAGAUUCAGCUAAAUUGAAGACAAAAAAAAAAACAUUCAGCUGCCUAAAUGUUAAAAGGCCAAGUUGUUAAAAUAAAGUGUGGUUUUGUGCCAUAAAGCAUUGGUACUGCAACGCUAUGGGAAUCAGACCCAGGGGACACGAGGACAGCAUUUAACCACCCCACUGAACCCUAAGAUACCAUCUAGAAAAAUACAUUUUUUCCACAGAUAAAAUGAAGUCUCAAAAUAUAGUCAUUGUUGUGCAUUACUCAUGCAAGUUAUAAUGUCUUGCAAGAGAGAUGUGACCCUUUCAGGAGUCUGUAGCCUUGACACAUCCUGGACAUAUCCAAUUGACAGAGAACAAAACAAGGGAAGAAUCUGUUUGCGUGUGGGUAAUGCUGAGAUGUCCUCACAAUUUAUUUGCAGAUUGGUCACAAGAUAGAAACAGGUCAUUUACAGAGUGAAACGCAGGAAAAAGUUAGCUCCCUUAAACCAUUUGUGUACCAUGGACACCCCUCUCAGGCUGUAGAAGUACAUGCGUAUAAUACAGUCUUUGAUGCUCUUCAGUUUCUUCAUGUAUACUGAACCAAGGUGCUUUACAACGCAGAAAUACUUACGCCUGCAUCAACAAGAUGAGAAACUAAGCAGGGCUGCGUUUACUGUGCGAGGCCGUGCCCCUCUCUCUCUCUCUCUCACACACACACACACGCUUUACCUUCUAACUCCUCGUCAUAAAACAACUAAACGAAAAACAGCCUGUCCACACCUUUACUUUCUCCCCACAUUUGGGGAUUCCUUAAAAUUCUUCUUUACAAAAGAAAAAUAGAUAUUUAUAUAUUCGUACAUAGUAUAUACACAAAGCGUGGAGAGAAAGACAUAGUACGAGAUGAUCCCAGAGUUCUGGACUAUCUAUCCUCCUCGCUUUCUAGAGCUUGUAGAGAUCCUGCCAUCUUGAGAUCCUGCCAUCUUUCAAGAGCCAGUAGAGAUCCUGCCAUCUUUCUAGAGCCAGUAGAGAUCCUGCCAUCUCUCUAGAGCCAGUAGAGAUCCUGCCAUCUUUCUCUAGAGUUAGUAGGGAUACUGGCAUCUUGAGAUCCUGCCAUCUUUCUAGAGCCAGCAGAGAUCCUGCCACCUUGAGAUCCUGCCAUCUUUCUAGAGCCAGUAAAGAUCCUGCCAUCUUGAGAUCCUGCCAUCUUUCUAGAGCCAGUAGUGAUCCUGCCAUCUUUCUAGAGCCAGUAGGGAUCCUGCCAUCGGCUCUUUAACCUAUGAGACAACGCAUCAUCUGUGUCAACCCUCUAGGUUUCUAGAGCAAUGAAAAAACCCAGUCUCUCUCCAUCCACUCUUUCUGUUGGGACUGGAUUCUCUCAACACAUCCCCAUCUUUUUUAAUUCCGGGUCAGUUCUGACUAUAGUCUGACCCGCCUGCAGCUCUGUUGGCAGUCCUGCUCUGUCCUGUCUGGGGUUCGUGGGCUCAAUGCCCAUCCCUCUGGAGCUUUCAGUCCGAGUCACUGGUGUCAGAGGAGGACGAGGAAGAAGAUGAGGAAGAGUCUGAGCUGGAGCUGCUGGCGCUGAGGCGAGACGCUACGGCAUGGGGCUCCACUGCACUGGGCUUCUCUGCUGAGAGAGAGACCGAUAGACACAAGGUCAAAUACUUGGAAUAUAAUGUUGAGAAGACAACCCACACAUUUUGCAAAGACCUGAGCUGAUCUCUUUCAUGAAGUACUAUGAAGGUGGAUAGGGCCAUACAUUAGAGAAAAUGUAUUUUAAAUACAUU